rnacentral:rRNA from 1 species
UACGGAGGGAGCUAGCGUUGUUCGGAAUUACUGGGCGUAAAGCGCACGUAGGCGGCUUUGUAAGUUAGAGGUGAAAGCCCGGGGCUCAACUCCGGAACUGCCUUUAAGACUGCAUCGCUUGAAUCCAGGAGAGGUGAGUGGAAUUCCGAGUGUAGAGGUGAAAUUCGUAGAUAUUCGGAAGAACACCAGUGGCGAAGGCGGCUCACUGGACUGGUAUUGACGCUGAGGUGCGAAAGCGUGGGGAGCAAACAGGAUUAGAUACCCGGUAGUCC